GUGCUCGCUUCGGCAGCACAUAUACUAAAAUUGGAAAAAUACAGAGAUUAGCAUGGCCCCUGCGCAAGGAUGACACGCAAACUCGUGAAAUGUUUAUAAAAAAA